AGCAUAUGAACAUGCUGUCCUUGGUUUUAACUUAUUAAUAAUCCAAAUGUAAAAGCACAAAAACACUUAAAGGCUAAAGGUCAUGAAAAUGUAUCCAUCUUAAUUAUUAAAAAGUAUCGGUAUCGGCGAUACUGGCCCUGUAUUUACUUGGUAUUGGAUCAAUACCAAAUAUUGCAGUAUCGCACACCACUACUACGCGGGAAUAUGGUAACUGAA